GGGUCAGUAGGUUGGUCGUGCCACCGGUACGUACUGGUCUCACUGAUUCCUCCUUCCUGAAGAACCGUAAUGCCAUUAAUUUGGUGUUGCGGGGAAACAGGACUGUUACUUUGAAAAAAUUAGAGCGCUUAAAGCAAGCUAACGCUUGAAUACAUUAGCAUGGAAUAAUGAAAUAGGACGAUCGAUCCUAUUUUGUUGAUUUCUAGGAUUGACGUA
rnacentral:rRNA from 1 species